CCUGUAGGCAUAGUUUAAAGCAAAACACCGGGCCGUGAACCCGGAAACAGAAGCCCGUCCC
rnacentral:tRNA from 1 species